rnacentral:rRNA from 1 species
GCUCAGGAUGAACGCUAGCGGCAGGCUUACACAUGCAAGUCGAGGGGUAACAGGUUCUUCGGAGACGCUGACGACCGGCGCACGGGUGAGUAACGCGUAUGGAACCUACCUACAACAGGAGGAUAGCUCUCGGAAACGGGAAUUAAUACUGCAUACAUUUUAUUUGUGGCAUCACAGAUAAAAUAAAGCUAAGGCGGUUGUAGAUGGGCAUGCGUACCAUUAGUUAGUUGGUGAGGUAACGGCUCACCAAUGCAGCGAUGGUUAGGGGUCCUGAGAGGGUAGUCCCCCACACUGGUACUGAGACACGGACCAGACUCCUACGGGAGGCAGCAGUGAGGAAUAUUGGUCAAUGGGCGAUAGCCUAAACCAGCCAUGCCGCGUGCAGGAAGACGGCCCUAUGGGUUGUAAACUGCUUUUCUGUGGGAAGAAUACCCUUGAUUCGUUCGGGGGUUGACGGUACCACAGGAAUAAGCAUCGGCUAACUCCGUGCCAGCAGCCGCGGUAAUACGGAGGAUGCAAGCGUUAUCCGGAUUCAUUGGGUUUAAAGGGUGCGCAGGCGGUGGAGCAAGUCAGUGGUGAAAGCCCGGGGCUUAACUCCGGGAUUGCCAUUGAAACUGUUUCACUUGAGUGUAGUCGAGGACGGCGGAAUGAGUUGUGUAGCGGUGAAAUGCAUAGAUAUAACUCAGAACACCGAUUGCGAAGGCAGCUGUCUAGGCUACAACUGACGCUGAGGCACGAAAGCGUGGGGAGCGAACAGGAUUAGAUACCCUGGUAGUCCACGCAGUAAACGAUGAUCACUCGUUGCUGGCUACGUAGUAGUCAGUGACUAAGGGAAACCAUUAAGUGAUCCACCUGGGGAGUACGUCGGCAACGAUGAAACUCAAAGGAAUUGACGGGGGCCCGCACAAGCGGAGGAACAUGUGGUUUAAUUCGAUGAUACGCGAGGAACCUUACCUGGGCUUAAAUGCAGGCUGCAUUUCCGCGAAAGCGGAAUUUCCUACGGGACCGCUUGCAAGGUGCUGCAUGGUUGUCGUCAGCUCGUGCCGUGAGGUGUCGGGUUAAGUCCCAUAACGAGCGCAACCCUUAUCGCUAGUUGCCAGCAUGUAAUGGUGGGGACUCUAGCGAGACUGCCGGUGUAAACCGGAGGAAGGUGGGGAUGACGUCAAAUCAGCACGGCCCUUACGUCCAGGGCUACACACGUGUUACAAUGGCCGGUACAAAGAGCAGCCACCUGGCGACAGGGUGCUAAUCUUUAAAGCCGGUCUCAGUUCGGAUCGAAGUCUGCAAUUCGACUUCGUGAAGGUGGAUUCGCUAGUAAUCGCGCAUCAGCCAUGGCGCGGUGAAUAAGUUCCCGGGCCUUGUACACACCGCCCGUCAAGCCAUGGAAGCCGGGGGUACCUGAAGUCCGUAACCGAUA